rnacentral:rRNA from 1 species
UACAGAGGGUGCGAGCGUUAAUCGGAAUUACUGGGCGUAAAGCGUGCGUAGACGGUUAUUUAAGUCAGGUGUGAAAGCCCCGGGCUCAACCUGGGAAUUGCAUUUGAGACUGAAUAGCUAGGGUGCGGAAGAGGGAAGCGGAAUUUCCGGUGUAGCGGUGAAAUGCGUAGAUAUCGGAAGGAACACCAGUGGCGAAAGCGGCUUCCUGGUCCAGCACCGACGUUCAGGCACGAAGCGUGGGGAGCAAACAGG